ensembl:lncRNA
GUUCCCAUUUUAGUGCAUCAGUAAUCAAAUACUCACCACUUACCAUCAUACAAUGUCCUCAUGGAUGAUGCACUAGCGCUCUGAAUGGUUGCAAUGACAUUGAGGGGAAGGCCUGCGGCGUCCAAAUGAGCCUCUCACUGGCCAAGCCCAAAGAGCCAGACACUCUGAAUGAGGGUGAAGGAGCUCUCUGAAGAGUACUGUUUGUUGACAGGCUAGACAAGUCCGAACCAAAUGCACUUUGAAGAUGAAGUGGCGUAACAGAAGCUUUCGGUGACCGAGUUGCUAGUUCACGCUACAAACAAUUUAGCCACCUAGCCAUGACUCCUGUCCGAGAGCAAGCCUCUGGGGGUGAGAAGAGGUUUUAGACUGAUUCAAUGAUGUUGUUUCGUAUAUAAAGUAGGAGGAAGUACUGUAUGUCCGUGACUCAUAUGUCAGAUGACCAAACAAUGAUGGCAAGUGUGGUCGCAAGGGGGCAUGAGUUUUUUUUUCAACUGCAGUGUGAUAUCUCGUAAUGUUAGAAUGUUUUAUUAUUAAUUGUAUUGUUUUUCUAUAUAUUAUUAUUAUUAUUGUUUUCUUUUUUUAACUACAGACAGAAAUGGGUUACUGGGGACAAUUCAGGGACUCCAGCAAACCCUUCAGCAACAGUGUGAUUUGAGAGUGGAAAAUGAAAGGUUGAAAAAGUCAUUGCUUGACAUGAAGAAGAAUAAUGUAAAAAUCUUGGAGGAUUGUCAUGCUCAAAAUGAAGGGCUUCAGGCUGAGAUGGCAGUUCUACAAGAAGACCACCAGAGGGAGCUAGAGGAAGCCCAACAAGAGACCCAGAGAAAAUUGGAGGCAAAAGAAAGAGCAAUUAAGGAAGUAAUUGAGAAGAAAGAGUCUUCUGAGGAAGAGCUGAGGAGGAAGAUCCGAGAGCAGGACAAAGAAAAGCAGAGUGAACUAAUUAAACUGCAAA